UUCUGCGUAUGUUACCCGCUUCCAGCUUUGUGUGGAGCAAGCUCGUAGCACUGCACGCGCCCCGCUUCGUGAGCACAACUCACUUGCUUUUGAUAACUACGUACGAUGGUUUAUUGGAACUACUCGAGUUGAGAUAUGCCCGCCGGCAUAUAAUGAGGAUAUUCUUGAAGAACCCGUAAACUUUGAGGAUCUAGCAAAGGGGAAGUACAACAGAGAUGUCAGGCUAGGGCAAGGAGUGCCUGCUGUUCCGGUGAUUAACUAUGUGCGCACCGAGAUCAAGAGAGCAGCUGAUGAGAGCCAGUCUAUUCUGGAGAAGACACGGGUUGGAACUGGCAAUGAUGAUGGUUCACUACGAGCAUUCCUCAAGCGUCAGGCCAAGAAGUUAAGGCGGUUAUCGAACCUUCUCGGUUGCUGUGAUCCUGAAUAUGAUGAACCAUCUGCCUCUAG